rnacentral:rRNA from 1 species
UGAGGAAUAUUGGUCAAUGGGCGAGAGCCUGAACCAGCCAAGUAGCGUGCAGGAAGACGGCCCUAUGGGUUGUAAACUGCUUUUAUACGGGGAUAAAGUGGGCCACGUGUGGCUUAUUGCAGGUACCGUAUGAAUAAGGACCGGCUAAUUCCGUGCCAGCAGCCGCGGUAAUACGGAAGGUCCGGGCGUUAUCCGGAUUUAUUGGGUUUAAAGGGUGCGCAGGCGGCGCGCCAAGUCAGCGGUCAAAGUUCCGGGCUCAACCCGGUGUCGCCGUUGAAACUGGCGUGCUCGAGUGCGUGCGAGGAAGGCGGAAUGCGUUGUGUAGCGGUGAAAUGCGUAGAUAUUAGGAGGAACACCAGUGGCGAAGGCGGCUUUCUGGACUGUAACUGACACUGAGGCUCGAAAGCGUGGGGAGCGAACAGGAUUAGAUACCCUGGUAGU